rnacentral:rRNA from 1 species
UUUGUCGCCAGCUCGUGUCGUGAGAUGUUGGGUUUAAGUCCCGCAACGAGCGCAACCCCCUAUUUGUUAGUUUGCCAUCAUUUCAGUUGGGCACUCUAGCGAGACUGCCGGUAAUAAACCGGAGGAAGGUGGGGAUGACGUCAAAUCAUCAUGCCCCUUAUGACCUGGGCUACACACGUGCUACAAUGGUUGGUACAACGAGUUGCGAGUCGGUGACGGCGAGCUAAUCUCUUAAAGCCAAUCUCAGUUCGGAUUGUAGGCUGCAACUCGCCUACAUGAAGUCGGAAUCGCUAGUAAUCGCGGAUCAGCACGCCGCGGUGAAUACGUUCCCGGGCCUU